ensembl:lncRNA
GCUCUUUCCUGGGCUCAGACUUUAGGCUUGUUGCCUCUAGGCUCAAGAUCCAAUUUGUCUUUUCUGAAAGCCAGACCUGGACUGAAUUGAGACGGCACCACUUUAAUGUCCCAGUUCUGUGUCUACUCCCAGAGGAAGGGAAGCUCAUCGUGCAGCUAGAAUCCUGCAGCAGGAAGGAGUGUAUUUGCCCUACCUGGCAAGAGGCCGACAGUCCCCUACAGCUCCCUACAGCUACUCUUCAGGGCCAGAGAAUUUCCAUGGGAGUCUCCAAGAGCCUCAGAAAUUCCAGCUGCAGCUCCCUGUUUCAAGGAAGUAGAGCCUAACCUCAGUCUAAUUUGAAAGAAAAACAUCUUCUCAAGGGCCUUGGGUAUAAUUGAUGUAACUUGGAAAAUAAAAUCAUUUUUAAUAGCAGAGCACUUUCUCCAGAUAGUACUUAGAUUAAUUUGAGGAGAAUAUCAGCAAGAUGUAAAACUGGAUCCUGAAAACGAUUUCUUAUUCCAGCAAGACUGCCCCUCGAUACUUCAGGAGAGCAGCAGCAAAAGGAUAUUGUGAGGUCAAGCUACAUUAUCUCUUGUCCUGAGAUUUCCCAUCACUGCUAGCCUGGAAAUUUCCUUCACCUUUCUCUGGUCCUUCCUGGAUCUCAUGACUCCUCUUUCUUCAUUGGGUGGAACACAUUACCUAGUGGCGUCUUCAGACAUGAUACAUUGGAGUAAAUAUGCAGUUGCUCUGCUUCUUGGGACCAACCACAGCAUCAUUGGAUAUCAGGAUCCCAAGGUACUUCAGAGGCUAUCCAUCCCUACCGUCUAUCUGAGGCUUAAAUCUCCCCAAGAAUAUCCAAGAUCCAGUGCUCUCUACUGAAGCUGAUCUUGCUGCGUCUCUUCUGAUAAGUAAAGUGUUGUUCCAUCUAGUGUUUGACUGUAGUGUGCUUUCCUUGUGACUCCAACACCAAGACACGUGAGCAGAAGUGUUCUGAUUUCUACUGCUGACAAUAGGCAGCAGAUGCCACUGUCUCAACACAAGUGAAGGGAAUUUUCUAUUUAUUGCAUUGUGUCAUUGCAUCAAAAUUACUCUUUCUAAGCCCCACUUUGUGGUGGGAGUGAGUAGGGCACUGUCCAGAACCAGAAUCUAGCCCUUUGGAAUCUUUGGCUAUGGCCAAAAACACCUAAGUAAGAAACGUCAGCAAAUGACUCUUGGAUUUACGCAGAGAAUUCAGAUCCAAUGUGAAUUUUAAUCUUUCAAAUUGAUCUUACCUAUUGGCUAGAUUCAGUAAAUAGUGUUAACAUCUGGA